AUCAUCAGUUUCUCUCUAGUAGAAUUGAGAUCCCUCCUACCACAUCCGUUCCCCUUCCCUUCCCUCCUCUCGCGCGCCGGCUCCACGCAGAUCCAGGAGAUAUGCCUCGCUAUGAUGACCGCUAUGGAGGCACGCGCUUGUAUGUUGGCAGAUUGGCCACUCGUACUCGUUCCCGCGAUUUAGAACAUCUGUUUGGCAGAUAUGGAAGAUGGUAAACAAUGAUUGUUCUGAACUGGUGGAGGUGCAAACCAUCUGAUAUAUAGGAGAGCCUAGUAAGCUAAGGGGCCCUUGCUACCCUUCUUAUAGCCAUUUUAGCAGGUACUGGGUUCAGUGGUACUAUUGAGUCUUAUCAAGUUACUUGUGGUUGAGCCUCUCUCCAAAACAUUGUCUUUGGUAGUUUCUGUUACUUAAAUAAUGUAGAAAGUUUCCCCCCUCAGAAAUUGUGUGUUUGACUUGGAUGAUCUUGU
rnacentral:lncRNA from 1 species